CAGAGAAGCUUCUUCCAAGAGUAGACAGGAACAGAGGGACCCACAGCUGGAUAUUAGAGAGAAGUGGGAAGACAUACCCGUGAGGCUGAGCUGGAAUAUCCCAGGCUGUAAGAGGAGUGUUGGUACUCAAAAAUGAUGCAGAAUGAAGCACAGAGAUGUGUUGGAAGAAG